AUUCCAUGAUGAGGGUAUUUCUAUAAUAAUUCUUUGAAUCAUUCCCGUGCCUCAUACAAUGACUCAUCAUCCAUUUUUUGGAAGAAAGUAAUCUCGUUCCUCAACUU
rfam:Gossypium arboreum cultivar AKA8401 contig_75903_1, whole genome shotgun sequence.